AUUCUUUUCUAGUUUAUAAGCAUGAUGAUUGAGUAUUUACAUGCUGGUGUGACAUGUACCUCACUUAAACUUUGUUAUGACACUGGCAUAUAACUUGUUUGGAG